AUACUUACCUGGCAUAGAGGUAAACCUUGAUCAUGAAGGAGGUUCCUCCAGAGUGAGACUUGGCCAUUGCACUUGGGUUGAGUUGACCUCUGUGAUUAUCCCUAAUGUGGAUAACUCGUUUGCGCUAU
rnacentral:snRNA from 1 species